AAUGAUACUGUCUUACAUCGCUGGCCUUGUUCUUAUAAGUGUUCACUCGGCGCUCACAAGAUAACAUGUUCAGAGAUCUGUUGCAGAACCUUGUCGUGCCGUCAUUUAUAUACUCCUUGACUAAGAGCUACUUUACACCUACAGCAAAAAUGUGCUAAAUGAUACCCAUCCUCUCCUCACAUUACUGUACUUGCACUUACCAUCCUCAUCUUCGCCAUAGAGGUGGUUAAGAGGGUGACGUACACAGCAUCUAGCACGAAUCCAAUAAGCAGCUAUCAAGUCUCAAGAUAUGACAUAAUUUGAUAGAAUGUUAGUACCAACGCUAUCAGUGCAUUGAAGUCGAGUUCUCGAUACAGGGAGCUGCUGGUAAACUACCGUCGCUAUACAUCGACUAUGACUACAAUCCUACCUUUAAAAACAAACUACAUACAUAUCUCACAUUUGCGAGGACUACUUCAUC